AUUGAACGCUGGCGGCAGGCUUAACACAUGCAAGUCGAGCGAGCGGCGGACGGGUGAGUAAUGUAUGGGAAAGUGCCUGAUGGAGGGGGAUAACUACUGGAAACGGUAGCUAAUACCGCAUACAAUCAGAGGUGCCGAGUUGGGAUUAGCUAGUAGGGGGGGUAACGGCUCACCUAGGCGACGAUCCCUAGCUGGUCUGAGAGGCGGACCAGCCACACUGGCACUGAGACACGGUCCAGACUCCUACGUGAGGCAGCAGUGGGGAAUAUUGCACAAUGGGCGCAAGCCUGAUCCAGCCAUGCCGCGUGUCUGAAGAAGGCCUUCGGGUUGUAAAGCACUUUUAGCGGGGAGGCGUUACCUGCAGAAGAAGCACCGGCUAACUCCGUGCCAGCCGCCGCGGUAAUAC
rnacentral:rRNA from 1 species